rnacentral:lncRNA from 1 species
CUUACAGUGGGGAAACAGUCCUACUAAUGUAAAGAGUUUUAAAGUUAGGAGUAAGGACAAAGUUGGAAAAGAUUUUCACUAAAGGUCUUAGGUAUCACCUUUCCGUGGGGAACUCAAAGCAUAUUAUUAAUUUUGGCAACUAGAAGUUGGCUUUACUCUAAUACUUUAAAAAAUAAAGAGGUUUUUAAAAAAAGAAAGUUUAAUGGAUUAGAAAGGGCUUCUGGCAAUCAGUGGUGGAAAGCCCAGAGGACCCUCUUGGGAUCUUCUUGCCAUAUCCUUCCAUGUAUGAAAAUAGUCAACAUGGGCAGGAGAGCAUCUGCAUUUGUAUCUGCUGUUUGUAGACGACUAUAUGGGGGAUUUCUUCAUUUUCUGCGCAUUUUCAAGGUCACUUUUAAAAAUCACUACUGCCAAGUUUAUAUGCCCACAUUUUCAUUUCUCUUUUUUUCCUCCCACUAGAAAACAACCAAAUACCCUGGAUGUGAUGCCUGAGAAGGGCUAAAAAGGUGGAAGGUUAUUAGCUCUCCCUCACAGAAAGCCUCGCAGUAUAAAGAAGUGAGCACUGGAUUUACUGUGAAAGGAUCUGCUUCAGGUCCUUCUAUGACCAUUUUACUCUCUCUCUUGUCUAGGGAAAAUCACUUUCUUUGUGUAAAUCAAUUUCUUAGGUUAUAAAAUUGAAGAAGAUAAACCUGCCCUCACUACUUUAUGUGGCUUGUGAUCACGACAAUAACUGGGUCACAAUCCCUGCUCAUUUACUGCAAACCACUGGGAGUUUUCUCCCUGAGAUUUCCUUGUUUUACCUUUAUUUAAAUGAACCAAAUCCUUUGCAUCAACUUUGUUCUUAAAGUGUCCCUGGGGCUGUUUAAUAUUUACCCACUGACUGAGAGUCGUGGCAGCUCCAGACAUUCUAUGUAGGAGGCACUCAGGGACUGAAAGGAAGAGAUGGACGCUGCUUUUGGCUCUUCCACAGCAAAUCUGUACUUUUACUUAGAAUCUAAGUUUAUCUGUGAUGGCCAAGAGUCAGAAGCCAAUGAAAGUUAUGUGAAAACAAAAGUCAUCUGACAAGUUCCCCUUUGGAAAUCACUUCUGACUUUGAAGGGACAGACUACAGGAACUUCCCAAGAUCCUCUGGUCCUCUGAUUCUAUUAUCGUGAACACACAGUUAUUGGCGGCCCUCUAACAACAAGGACAGUGAAAUUUUUAAGACCCUUGAAGCCCUUGCCCCUAAAAUAUAGUCUAUAGGGCCCCCAAGGGGAAUAUUAACUUAGAGGAUCAUUAUUUCUGUAUAUUCAUUGCCAUCUGCUUUAUGGAACGAGAGGUGGAGGCCGGGUUGUUGGGGGGAAGCUCAAUGUACUGAUUAGAUUUAGCAUUUAGCAUUUAUGUUUCCCUUGCUUUAGCUGUUUAUGGAUAAUUAUUGUGGUUACUUGGGAACAAAUCUUAUAAUCCUGGGGAAGCAAAGACAGAUGCAGAUGCCUGUGAAUUACAUCCAAUAGGAUCAGAAUAUGGCUCAUGAAUUUUAGCCUCUCACCACCAUGUAAUCAGUGUUGAAUUUGGAUAGGUUACAGCAGAACCCUUAGGGAGAGUGAGAGAGCUGAAAAAGCUGAAAUGUAAAAACAGCCAGGAAGAACAUCACAGAGGCUCUUUCUAUGAGGAGGAAAAGCACAUACACCAUCACCAAAAUGACAGCAAUGACCAGCCCAGGGUUUGAAAGCUGUCUCAAGAUCUUCGCCAUCCAGCUUGGGAAAUCGUGCUCCAGGGUCUCUCCAAUGACUUCAAACAUUCUAUUUUUGCCACUGGGGGAAUUAAAAAGGGGGAGAUAAGUUUAUUAAGAACAUAUGGAAAAACCAUGGUUAAAGCAAGAAAACUGGAAAUCUUUCUCAAUUACUGCUUAGGUCCUCUUUCAGGGUAGGAAUCUGAUGUUUAGCUACAACUUGCUGACACUUUGACCUCAUGUAGUCAAUAUAUGGGUAAGAUACGAGAAAUAUGAUCCCAGUAUAAACAUAUAGUCAAAGCAGUUAGAAAAUUAACCACAUAUUUAGGAGAAGAUUUUUAAAAACUGUAUUUCUAAGAUUUUGAUUGAAAUAUAUUUUGUAAAUAGCUCAUAAGUCUGCCUCUCAGUCAGCUGCUCUUGUAGGAGAACACUCUCUUUGAGCUAAGUAUUUUUAAUUAGCCUUGGAAAUGAGAGCAAGGAAUAGCCCAGUGGAAUAAAAUCCACAUAUAAUCCAAUAUCUCUUUCCACGCAAUAGCUUCCACCUCAUUUUCCACCAGACUUCCUUCAUCAGAUAUGUUAAUAGGUAAGGUAACCACACCGAAUCAUGGGUUUUUUCCCUCUCAGUUUCUUCUCCUGGACAGGCCCUAAUGAAUACCAGCUUAGCUCCACUGCUAAGCUCCAUGAAGGCAAGUAUCAGCUCCUAUAAACUAGAAAACUGAGAACAGGAUGUCUUGACUUACUAAGGAAUAGCUAGAAUUGUACCAUAAUAUUCAAAAUAUUCAUUACAUCAUUAUUUUCUCUGUAUAUGCAUACUGAUUGUACUACGAAAAGAUGUAAUUUUCAGAAGAGAUUUGGGUUGGGUUUCACCAAAU